rnacentral:rRNA from 1 species
GGUCCCGCGUGCAUUUGAUGUGGGGUCUGGCCUGCCCAAUGAUUGGGGUUUAAUGGCCGCGGUAAUUUGACCGUGCAAAGGUAGCAUAGUCAUUAGUCUUUUAAUUGAGGUCUGGUAUGAAUGGUUGGACGAGGGGAAGGCUGUCUUGUUUGUAACGUUUCUGAAUUUUACUUUUGGGUGAAAAGGCCCAAAUUAUCCUGGGGGACGAUAAGACCCUAUAGAUCUUUACGUUUUGUGUGGUUGGGGUAAACUAGAUGGGGCGUUAUGUUGGGGUGACAGGGAGAUAGGGGCAACUCUCUUAUUUUAGGUUUACUAAUUGGUAUGAAUUUGAUCCACUCGUUGUGAUUAUUAGAUUAAGUUACCUUAGGGAUAACAGCGUAAUCUCUUUCGAGAGUUCUUAUCGACAGGGGGGAUUGCGACCUCGAUGUUGGAUUAAGGGAUUUUAGUGGUGUAGGUGCUACUAGGAGAGGGUCUGUUCGACCUUUAAUACUUUACA